rnacentral:tRNA from 1 species
AUCUGGCUGGCCCAGUCCAGUAGAGCAUGUGACUCUUGAUCUCAGGGUCAUGAGUUUGAGCCUCAUGUCGGGGA